rnacentral:tRNA from 1 species
GCUGGGGUGGUGGAAUAGGCAGACACGCUAGCUUGAGGGGCUAGUGCCCGUAAUGGGUGUGGGGGUUCAAGUCCCCCUCCCAGCACCA